rnacentral:rRNA from 1 species
AUUGACCGCUGGCGGCAGGCCUAACACAUGCAAGUCGAACGAGUGGCGGACGGGUGAUUAAUGUCUGGGAAACUGCCUGAUGUAGGGGGAUAACUACUGGAAACGGUCGCUAAUACCUCAUCCCAUCGUAUGUGCCCAGCUGGGAUUAGCUAGUAGGUGGGCUAAAGGCUCCCCUCGGCGACGAUCCCUAGCUGGUCUGAGAGUAUGACCAGCCACACUGGAACUGAGACACGGGCCAGACUCCUACGGGAGGCAGCAGUGGGGAAUAUUGCACAAUGGGCGCAAGCCUGAUACAGCCAUGCCGCGUGUAUGAAGAAGGCCUUCGGGUUGUAAAGUACUUUCAGCGGGGAGGCGUUACCCGCAGAAGAAGCACCGGCUAACUCCGUGCCAGCCGCCGCGGUAAUAC